UAAUACGGAGGGUGCAAGCGUUAUCCGGAAUCACUGGGUUUAAAGGGUGCGUAGGCGGUGGCGUAAGUCAGUUGUGAAAUUCCCCGGCUUAACCGGCGGGACUGCGAUUGAUACUGCGUUACUUGAAUCAGGUUGAGGUAGGCGGAAUGUGACAUGUAGCGGUGAAAUGCUUAGAUAUGUCAUAGAACACCGAUUGCGAAGGCAGCUUGCUGGACCUGUAUUGACGCUGAGGCACGAAAGCGUGGGGAGCAAACAGGAUUAGAUACCCUGGUAGUCCACGCCCUAAACGAUGUUUACUUGCUGUUCGGCCCUUGAGGCGGAGUGGCGAAGCGAAAGCGCUAAGUAAACCACCUGGGGAGUACGCCGGCAACGGUG
rnacentral:rRNA from 1 species